rnacentral:rRNA from 1 species
UUCAUGGAGAGUUUGAUCCUGGCUCAGGACGAACGCUGGCGGCGUGCCUAAUACAUGCAAGUCGAGCGGACGGAUGAAGAAGCUUGCUUCUUCAGAAGUUAGCGGCGGACGGGUGAGU